rnacentral:rRNA from 1 species
AUUGAACGCUGGCGGCAGGCCUAACACAUGCAAGUCGAGCGGAUGAAGGGAGCUUGCUCCUGGAUUCAGCGGCGGACGGGUGAGUAAUGCCUAGGAAUCUGCCUGGUCGUGGGGGAUAACGUCCGGAAACGGGCGCUAGUACCGCAUACGUCCUGAGGGAGAAAGUGGGGGAUCUUCGGACCUCACGCUAUCAGAUGAGCCUAGGUCGGAUUAGCUAGUUGGUGGGGUAAAGGCCUACCAAGGCGACGAUCCGUAACUGGUCUGAGAGGAUGAUCAGUCACACUGGAACUGAGACACGGUCCAGACUCCUACGGGAGGCAGCAGUGGGGAAUAUUGGACAAUGGGCGAAAGCCUGAUCCAGCCAUGCCGCGUGUGUGAAGAAGGUCUUCGGAUUGUAAAGCACUUUAAGUUGGGAGGAAGGGCAGUAAGUUAACACCUUGCUGUUUUGACGUUACCAACAGAAUAAGCACCGGCUAACUUCGUG